UUAAGCGACUAAGCGUACACGGUGGAUGCCUAGGCAGUCAGAGGCGAUGAAGGGCGUGCUAAUCUGCGAAAAGCGUCGGUAAGGUGAUAUGAACCGUUAUAACCGACGAUACCCGAAUGGGGAAACCCAGUGCAAUUCGUUGCACUAUUGCAUGGUGAAUACAUAGCCAUGCAAGGCGAACCGGGGGAACUGAAACAUCUAAGUACCCCGAGGAAAAGAAAUCAACCGAGAUUCCCCCAGUAGCGGCGAGCGAACGGGGAGGAGCCCAGAACCUGAAUCAGCAUAUGUGUUAGUGGAAGCGUCUGGAAAGUCGCACGGUACAGGGUGAUAGUCCCGUACACAAAAAUGCAUAUGUUGUGAGUUCGAUGAGUAGGGCGGGACACGUGACAUCCUGUCUGAAUAUGGGGGGACCAUCCUCCAAGGCUAAAUACUCCUGACUGACCGAUAGUGAACCAGUACCGUGAGGGAAAGGCGAAAAGAACCCCGGCGAGGGGAGUGAAAUAGAACCUGAAACCGUGUACGUACAAGCAGUGGGAGCACCUUCGUGGUGUGACUGCGUACCUUUUGUAUAAUGGGUCAGCGACUUAUAUUUUGUAGCAAGGUUAACCGAAUAGGGGAGCCGUAGGGAAACCGAGUCUUAACUGGGCGAAUAGUUGCAAGGUAUAGACCCGAAACCCGGUGAUCUAGCCAUGGGCAGGUUGAAGGUUGGGUAACACUAACUGGAGGACCGAACCGACUAAUGUUGAAAAAUUAGCGGAUGACUUGUGGCUGGGGGUGAAAGGCCAAUCAAACCGGGAGAUAGCUGGUUCUCCCCGAAAGCUAUUUAGGUAGCGCCUCGUGAACUCAUCUUCGGGGGUAGAGCACUGUUUCGGCUAGGGGGUCAUCCCGACUUACCAAACCGAUGCAAACUCCGAAUACCGAAGAAUGUUAUCACGGGAGACACACGGCGGGUGCUAACGUCCGUCGUGAAGAGGGAAACAACCCAGACCGCCAGCUAAGGUCCCAAAGUCAUGGUUAAGUGGGAAACGAUGUGGGAAGGCAUAGACAGCCAGGAUGUUGGCUUAGAAGCAGCCAUCAUUUAAAGAAAGCGUAAUAGCUCACUGGUCGAGUCGGCCUGCGCGGAAGAUGUAACGGGGCUAAACCAUGCACCGAAGCUGCGGCAGCGACACUUAGGUGUUGUUGGGUAGGGGAGCGUUCUGUAAGCCGUUGAAGGUGACCUGUGAGGGUUGCUGGAGGUAUCAGAAGUGCGAAUGCUGACAUAAGUAACGAUAAUGCGGGUGAAAAACCCGCACGCCGGAAGACCAAGGGUUCCUGUCCAACGUUAAUCGGGGCAGGGUGAGUCGACCCCUAAGGCGAGGCUGAAAAGCGUAGUCGAUGGGAAACAGGUUAAUAUUCCUGUACUUGGUGUUACUGCGAAGGGGGGACGGAGAAGGCUAGGCUAGCCGGGCGACGGUUGUCCCGGUUUAAGCAUGUAGGCGGAGUGACUUGGUAAAUCCGGUUGCUUAUCAACGCGGGGGUGUGAUGACGAGUCACUACGGUGAUGAAGUAGUUGAUGCCAAGCUUCCAGGAAAAGCCUCUAAGCAUCAGGUAACAUUAAAUCGUACCCCAAACCGACACAGGUGGUCAGGUAGAGAAUACUCAGGCGCUUGAGAGAACUCGGGUGAAGGAACUAGGCAAAAUGGUGCCGUAACUUCGGGAGAAGGCACGCUGGCAUUAGGUAAAGGGACUUGCUCCCGGCGCCGAAGCCAGUCGCAGAUACCAGCUGGCUGCAACUGUUUAAUAAAAACACAGCACUGUGCAAACACGAAAGUGGACGUAUACGGUGUGACGCCUGCCCGGUGCUGGAAGGUUAAUUGAUGGGGUCAGCCGCAAGGCGAAGCUCUUGAUCGAAGCCCCAGUAAACGGCGGCCGUAACUAUAACGGUCCUAAGGUAGCGAAAUUCCUUGUCGGGUAAGUUCCGACCUGCACGAAUGGCGUAAUGAUGGCCAGGCUGUCUCCACCCGAGACUCAGUGAAAUUGAACUCGCUGUGAAGAUGCAGUGUACCCGCGGCAAGACGGAAAGACCCCGUGAACCUUUACUAUAGCUUGACACUGAACAUUGAGCCUUGAUGUGUAGGAUAGGUGGGAGGCAUUGAAGUGUGGACGCCAGUCUGCAUGGAGCCAACCUUGAAAUACCACCCUUUAAUGUUUGAUGUUCUAACUCGGCCCCAUAAUCUGGGGUGAGGACAGUGUCUGGUGGGUAGUUUGACUGGGGCGGUCUCCUCCCAAAGAGUAACGGAGGAGCACGAAGGUUAGCUAAUCACGGUCGGACAUCGUGAGGUUAGUGCAAAGGCAUAAGCUAGCUUGACUGCGAGAGUGACGGCUCGAGCAGGUACGAAAGUAGGUCUUAGUGAUCCGGUGGUUCUGAAUGGAAGGGCCAUCGCUCAACGGAUAAAAGGUACUCCGGGGAUAACAGGCUGAUACCGCCCAAGAGUUCAUAUCGACGGCGGUGUUUGGCACCUCGAUGUCGGCUCAUCACAUCCUGGGGCUGAAGUAGGUCCCAAGGGUAUGGCUGUUCGCCAUUUAAAGUGGUACGCGAGCUGGGUUUAGAACGUCGUGAGACAGUUCGGUCCCUAUCUGCCGUGGGCGUUGGAAGAUUGAGAGGGGCUGCUCCUAGUACGAGAGGACCGGAGUGGACGAAUCACUGGUGUUCGGGUUGUCAUGCCAAUGGCAUUGCCCGGUAGCUAAAUUCGGAAGAGAUAACCGCUGAAAGCAUCUAAGCGGGAAACUUGCCUCGAGAUGAGUCUUCCCUGGGGCUUUAAGCCCCCUGAAGGAACGUUAAAGACUAUGACGUUGAUAGGCUGGGUGUGUAAGUGCAGCGAUGCAUUGAGCUAACCAGUACUAAUGAUCCGUGAGGCUUAACCUU
rnacentral:rRNA from 1 species